AAGAGAAACAUAGUAGAUCUCCCACCUUCUUCGAUCUCGCUGAAAGAAGAGAGCAGAACAGGUUCCGUUUCCCCCUCUUUCUUCCGUUCCCUUCUGCGAGGAAGAACCAAGGCGCCGCUUUCUUUCCUUGAUAGCACAGCUGGUCAAUCGCUCCUUUGGAGCAUAAACCUCAGCCCCUUUCCUCGUCUUCGCCCUCCUCUAUUUUCACAAUGCAAGAAGAACGCCGACCGC
rnacentral:lncRNA from 1 species